UACGAAGGGGGCUAGCGUUGCUCGGAAUCACUGGGCGUAAAGCGCACGUAGGCGGAUUGUUAAGUCAGGGGUGAAAUCCUGGAGCUCAACUCCAGAACUACCUUUGAUACUGGCGAUCUUGAGUCCGGGAGAGGUGAGUGGAACUCCGAGUGUAGAGGUGAAAUUCGUAGAUAUUCGGAAGAACACCAGUGGCGAAGGCGGCUCACUGGCCCGGUACUGACGCUGAGGUGCGAAAGCGUGGGGAGCAAACAGG
rnacentral:rRNA from 1 species